CUUGAUUAAACCAUAAGAGGUCCAGCCUGCCCAGUGACAUUGUUCAACGGCCGCGGUAUCCUAACCGUGCGAAGGUAGCGUAAUCACUUGUCCUUUAAAUGAAGACUAGUAUGAAUGGCCCCACGAAAGCUAUACUGUCUCCUUUUUCUAAUCAGUUAAACUAAUCUCCCCGUGAAGAAGCGGGGAUAAACAUAUAAGACGAGAAGACCCUAUGGAGCUUUAAACAACUGAAACACUUGUAUAUCUCCCUUCACCUACCCACAUUUAACUCCACAUCUUGUUUCUAGUUUUAGGUUGGGGUGACCACGGAGAAAAAACUAACCUCCACGAUGAAAGAGACAUCUCUAAACAAAAAGCUACAUCUUUAUGUAUUAAUACAUUAACCUUUAUUGACCCAAUAAAUUGAUCAAC
rnacentral:rRNA from 1 species